rnacentral:other from 2 species
CACCUCCUGCUGUGUUCGUGAGUGGACCUAAGAUCUCUUGAGCCUAUUUAUAUGCCCGGGGAUACUACUGUCGGGUGCGUUGUGCAUAUCCGUUACGUGCGGAGAGCCUGAACGCUCACAGCCGUCCCCACCUGAACCUUCUGGUUCAAGGGCAAGUGUCCACAACGGCAUUGGUGGGAGGUGC